GAUGAACGCUGGCGGCGUGCCUAAUACAUGCAAGUCGAGCGAACGGACGAGAAGCUUGCUUCUCUGAUGUUAGCGGCGGACGGGUGAGUAACACGUGGAUAACCUACCUAUAAGACUGGGAUAACUUCGGGAAACCGGAGCUAAUACCGGAUAAUAUUUUGAACCGCAUGGUUCAAAAGUGAAAGACGGUCUUGCUGUCACUUAUAGAUGGAUCCGCGCUGCAUUAGCUAGUUGGUAAGGUAACGGCUUACCCAGGCAACGAUGCAUAGCCGACCUGAGAGGGUGAUAGGCCACACUGGAACUGAGCCACGGUCCAGACUCCUACGGGAGGCAGCAGAAGGGAAUCUUCCGCAAUAGGCGAAAGCAUGACGGAGCAACGCCGCGUGAGUGAUGAAGGUCUUGCGAUCGUAAAAAUCUGUUAUUAGGGAAGAACAUAUGUGUAAGUAACUGUGCACAUCUUGACGGUAACUAAUAAGAAAGCCACGGCUAACUACGUG
rnacentral:rRNA from 1 species